GCAGUGUCAGUGGACGGGAACAAGAAGCUGUAUCGAUUCAAAAAAGGGACUGAUUACAAAGGAUUCUUUGAUGGCGUAUUUAUCUGCAAGGAUGAGGAUGUGUCUGACUUUGUMAACUAUGUCCAUACAAAGACUAAACAUGGUUAUGGAAAAGGGGUAUGUGGAGCAUCCCAGUGGACAGCAGCUAAAGAGUCGUCAAGGAAAACAAACGACAAACUUGAUGAAGAGGGACUSGAAGUUGCCGUCUGCUGCCACAGAAUACUUCUAAGGAGCCUCAACAUGAUGCGUGGAGAGAUAUUUGCGUACCCACUUCUUGCAGAAGGAAUUGUAUGGCAGCAGGAACAUACAAUUCAUGAGUACGGAUGUGAUCUGCAAAUUUUGGCCAUACCUGACCAAAGUUGCCCUUCAUUGUCCAGAGCUCGCCACUCUUCUAGACAUGAAGCCACUUCUUUCUGUCAUGCAUGCAAAGGCACAUCGUUUGAAAUGCGCGAUUAAGUGGGGAGGGCGGAAUCAGGAAGGAGCUGGCACAGCUCUGGGGGAGGAAGUGGAACAAGGGAACAGCUUCUUGUCGAGGGCUGCAAUCUGUUCCAAGCAAAUGUCCAAAGGAGCAAGAACAGACAUGCUAACCAUCCAGGCCAUGGGGUGGAACAGAAGAUACUUGAAGACAACAGCAAAAUCCAGGAGGAGACCCAGACUCUCGAAAAGUUUAAGAGUGAUUUGGGUGUAGGCGAUGAGACUCUGUACAACUGGACAACGGAAGUUCAGCAAUGGGCUAAUACAGAGGAAACAAAUAUGAACAUGGAUGGUCCCCAGGUACUACAGAGAACAAUUUAAGUCCUUUUUCUUAGCAUCAAACAAAGGAAACAGAACCUCUACCGUCAGACAGAUGGAUGCAAGAAAAGACACCCUCUGCGCAGAAAGAUAUUGGUAGAAAAGGCCAAAUUGACAGCUGCCAUAGAGGAGUACAACACCCUUGUACCAGAUUCAGCAAUAACAUCUGCAGAUGAGAUCCUUUCCACAGACCUUCAUGCAUGGCCUUGGGAGCUGAAUGGAAAAACUGACCUACUCACAAAUAAAAUAGCCUUUGACCGUGUGAUGCUCCUGAGACGGCUGAAGGAGGAGGAGUUAGUUGUCCUAAAGGAAGUCAAGCAGCACUGGGAAAGCCUAAAGAGGGAAUCGGAUAAUGUGCAAGACCUUGCUUCAUAUGUGGUACUUGACCUAAGUAGGCAAAGUAGGGGAACUUUCAUUAAUAUGUACAAUUGAUGAUGGCACCCUGUAAUUGCUAUUGUAUUUAAGGAAUAUUUAAUUGUAUUUACCCACAUUACAAUUGUUGGUGUUAGGCUGGCAAUUGAAUCAGUCGAAAGCUGGGCGCAAAGGUCAAAGCUGGGCGCAGAGGACAGUCAGCAGCCUCAGAAGACACCAGGACUCUGUCAAACUGAUAUACAGCAAAGCUAUGAGCCAAGACACCUCCCUCCUAGAAAAUAACUUCAUAGGUGACCUCCUGGAAGAGGACCUAGAUGACAUCUAUGACAGCAUCCACUACAGCUCUGAUGACGAGGAAUCUAUCACAGACUGACGGUGUUCGUUUGGGUGGGUGCAGUUUGCACUGGGUGAAAAGUGAUUCCAUUUGUUUUGCAUAUGUGCUUUAUCUGCCUUCCUAAGGAAAAAUUGUUUGAACAUUUUAUGGAAAAUAAACUUUUAUGUUUCUUCCUUGUUGA